CUUAAUUCACGUAUAUAGAUAUUUAAGAAUGUGGGGAUGAUGCCCAAUUGGAAAGGUUUGCAAUAUUGUAGGAAUCAUUUGGAGAUGGGUUGUAGAUAUUAAGCUAUGAAGGAGAUGAUUUUGAGGUAACAAGCCUUCAGCUUGCUUUCUGUUAACCUUUUUAUGCAUGGGUUCGAUUUGAUGCAAUCUAGGCAUUGUUUGUUGUCAAAUGGAUUAUUUUUUCCUUCUAGGUAACAUCUGAUACUUAGAAUGCAUUAUUUCUGAUGGCCCAGAAAAAACUCUGUGUGCAUAUUGUUCUGUUUAGAUGCAUACAAGAUGCAUGUUUGUGCCUCAUACCUGCUGAUUUGUAUGACUGAGGAACUCUCUUUCUUCCUAGAUGUGGCCAUAUGCUCUUCACUGAUAUAGCAUCUCCUUACUCUUGUAUAUUAUUCACAUAUAGCAUCUCAUUUCUUGGUUGAUUGCUUAUAUAUAUUCAACUUCUGUUUCCUGGCAUUCAUAUAUUACAAGCUAAAUAAAGUUUGCCAUUCCUUUUGGCCAUUUAUAGUUGUAACUAGAAGCAUGGAUGAUCUGUGAUGCUGGCAAUUGUCAGAUUGCACCCAUUUAAUUAUAGCACAAUAUAUCACAUUUGUGGUAAAUUUAGCUAAGCUUGUGCCUACCCUUUUAGUAGUCAAUAUGGUUCAGAUCCAGUAUUUUUUAUUUCCUUUUCUUUUUUUGCUUUCAGCACACAUAUGACAUUAAAGUUCUUUAUCAUGUAUGUAGGCAAAGUAGUUGUGUCACUUACUGAUGCUCUUAUGGUACACAGUACACUAUUAAGCUGUUGGGCCCAGAAACAGGAAGAGUAAUCCUCUUCCAAGGUUAAUUUUGUGCCUACUUCUUUAUGUACAUAACUCAUGAUUUGACAAAUAGUUAAGUUCCCUAUAUUUAUUUAUUUCUUUCUCUUUCACUUUCUCUUUCCUAUUUAUGGUUCUGGAACAAAACUGCUAUCCUUUUCUACAAAAUUGGAACAGAAAAUAAUGUUGACAAAUGAUUAUAACGGCUUAUUUAUUUUCUUGGUGUUAGAUUACUAAUGUGGAGAACUAUAAUUUUUAUUGAUGGUCGCUUGAUGGCGCUCAUUAGAAUUCAUAUAUGAAUCAACAUAUUCUUCCACUCUAAUUAGCAUGUUUGGUCUAUUUAAUUUCAAACAUAUCUAUUAUUCACCAAGGCGACUGCCUAAUUUCAUAUGUGUUCAUAUGCAGAAGGUAAAGAUCGUCUAUUAUCGGCGGUUAUUUUACUUAGUUGUAGAUACUACUGAAUAGUUUGCUUAAAAUUUUGAUAGUUUAAAAGAAGUAUUAUGGUGUAGUGCAGUAAUAAUUUUAUUUAAAAUUGCAGACCUUGCAUCAUAUUUUGCUUGUGUAUGUGGGCAGUGUGUUCAAGUUGAUCUGGAACAAUUUGAAGGGUUUCCUCGACACAAAAUCUUCAGCCAAGGUUUACUGAAGCACCUCGAAUUAUGUAUAGAAGUUUAAAAUUGUAAUUGUUUCAGGUUCUUUGCCACAUUAUGUAUGUUUUUUUAUUUUUUUAAUAAUUGGAUCUAUUUGCUAUGUGGAACAUGUAGCAUUUACUUGAUCAUAAUCUAAUUCAAUUUUUGACCACCAUCUUUUGGCUCUUGCUUUGAACAUAUGUAGUAUCGCUUAGUCAUUUUCUUGACACGACACUUUAGGCAACGGCUCAGACUUCUUGAGGCAUUUUUCUAUUUAUUGUUGAUACAUCUUCCAAAAUAAACGAACAAUGUUUCCUCCAUAUAUGAAUGGCACAAUGACACUAUGAAUUCUUUCCAGUCAAUUGAUCAUCAUAAGCCUCAUCCUGUAUUCUUUUUUUUUGCGGGAUAAGCCUCAUCCUGUAUUCAAUACAUUUAUGUGAUGUCUUCCUCGGGAUGGAAAUGUUCCUUGGCACCAUGACGAACAUCAACGGAGGAACAACCUUUUUAUUUUAU
rnacentral:lncRNA from 1 species